AACGAACGCUGGCGGCAUGCCUAACACAUGCAAGUCGAACGAGACCUCCGGGCUUAGUGGCGUACGGGUGCGUAACGCCUGGGAACUUGCCCUUAGGUUCGGAAUACCUCCCUGAAAGGGGUGCUAAUACCGGAUAAUGUCUUCGGACCAAAGAUCUAUCGCCUCUGGGUGGGUACUCGUUGGCUUAGUUAGUUGGUAGGGUAAUAGCCUACUACGGCGACGAUCCCUAGCUGGUCUGUGAGGAUGAUCUUCCACACUGGGACUGAGACACGGCCCAGACUCCUACGGAGGACAGAGGUGAGGUAUAUUGGGCGAUGGGCGAAAGCCUGAGCCAGCAAUGCGGCGUGAGUGAUGAAGGCCUUAGGGUUGUAAAGUUCUUUUACACGAGAUGAUAAUGACAGUACCGGGAAAAUAAGCCCCGGCUAACUCCGUG
rnacentral:rRNA from 1 species